UCUCAAUGGUUAUCCCAUCCUUUGUAUCCUCCUAUUCUUCCCUCCCUCCCAUUUUCCCCUUAUUCCCCUCCCCUAUGACUGUUCCUGAGGGGGAUUACCUCCCCCUGUAUAUGCUCAUAGGGUAUCAAGUCUCUUCUUGGUAGCCUGCUAUCCUUCCUCUGAGUGCCACCAGGUCUCCCCAUUCAGGGGAUGUGGUCAAAUAUGAGGCACCAGAGUACAUGUGAAAGUCAGACCCCACUCUCCACUCAACUGUGGAGAAUGUCCUGUCCAUUGGCUAGAUCUGGGUAGGGGUUUGAAGUUUACUGCCUGUGUUGUCCUUGGCUGGUGCCUUAGUUUGAGCGGGGCCCCUGGGCCCAAA